ACAGCUGAAAGCGCAAAAGUGCAUUGCAAACGCACAAAUUCUGCAUUCUCCAUUGGGGUACUGGUACCAGAGUGAUUGGAUACCGGUACCAGCACAAGCAGCUGCGUGGAUAUAGGGCUGUUUUGGUCAUUUCCUUUCCCAGCUGUGGUCUUAUCUCUUCUAGCUCGACCCCAACAGAUCUUUAUCAUGUUUAAGCAUUGGACAAUCAGGUUUUCACCAUUCUCUUUCUCUCUCUAGGGUUUUGGAGUUGUGAGAGGUGGAAAUGGUGAUUUAAGCUUUGUUUUCUUUCCCCUCUUGUUGUUAGCUGAUUUGGAGGGCUUUAGAGCUAUUGUCGAAAGGUGAAGAAAGGUAUUUUGGGAAGUACUUUGCAGCCCUAUCUCAGCCAGUAGCUGAUUGGGAGUUCUAUGAGCUAUUUGAGGGAGGUUCAAAACAGCUAGAGAGGAGUUGUUUGAUUGUGAUUCUUCCACUUAAAUCCAGGAGAAAGCUGGAUUGAAGCCUUGAAGGAUAUGUGAACCUUGUAACUGAGCUUUGGGCAACUUUUGAGGCUGGUUUUGCUGUGGUUCUUCAAUUCGAAACUGGGGGAAAAGCUCAAUUGGAGCUGUGAGAAUGUAUACUACCUACUAGUCCUUUAGUUGAUAAUAUCGGUUGCAAGUUUGAAGCAGUUUUGACCCUGGUUCGCAGCAGGUUCACAGCAGGGGAGGUGAACCCUGCGGCUAAGUUUUAGUGACUUUUGAAGCUGGUUUGAGGUUCUUCAACCCCAGCAAAGUGAAAUUUAAGUCAGAUUCUAAACCGGGUAUGAUUCUACCUAGCUUUAACGCCUAUGUAGGAUUCUUUUAGUAAGUUGGCGUUAAGCUUCUAACUUGAUUAGUAUGCUUACUAAGGGAAUUGGGGACCUCGGAUUACCUGCACUUGCGAGAUCGACAAGAAGCGUCGAUUAGUAGAGCCAUCCACUACGAGAGAGGCUAGGGACCGCGGCAAGGGAGUCACGUCUAGCUAGGCGUAGCUUGGAGUCCUGCUAGGUAUAUAGUGGGUCUAUGCAUGUAUCGGGUAUGCUUCCGCUGAUUCCCGGGUGUGACAUCAACCCUUCGAGAAAGGAGAAGGAGAAGGAGAAGGAGAAGGAGAAGGAGAAGCAGGCCACGAGACAACAUAGCAAAAUGAGCAAUAAUUAAACAGCUGCAUUACUUUAUUAUUCAUAACAAACCAGUGUUCUUCACAUCACAUAGAGACCAAAAGGACACGCAGUAUAGACUCGUCUCUAAUUGUAUCCUACAUUUAUCUCCACAGCAGAGUUCAAUUCAGACUUCAUAGUUGCCUUCGGAGAGAUGACACGGGGCACAUUUACCAUGCAGCGGUUAUUUUUAUUGCUGUCGAGAAAUUUUUCGGCAUUAUCAUCAACAUCUCUCAGAUUUGGAGCCCUUCAGGCGACCACCUGGGCCGCUGCAAGUCUGGCAAUAGGAACCCUGCAAAUAAAUGACAAGGUUUCAUGUUAGCAUUUAUUUUCCUUCUCCUUUUUCUUUUAACCUUUUUGAUGCAUUUAGUUCUUGAAUUAGGAAAAUCUUACGAGGUUCUAUUUUCA